rnacentral:lncRNA from 1 species
GCCAUAGCCAUAGAUUUAGAACUCAAUGUCAUAAUCUACAUAGGACUACUCAUCUAUCGAGGUCGAUAAAUCCCAUAUGGUGCGCACCUUAUUCGUACAAUGAACCUACUACAGUCAACAUAUACCUCAAGAGUCCGUAUGGCUAAGAGAUUGAGUUAUGGUAUAGUCAAACUAUAGAGUCUCAUUGUGAACAGCCGAGAUACCGCAGGUC